rnacentral:misc_RNA from 1 species
GAUGAAGAACGUAGCGAAAUGCGAUACGUAAUGUGAAUUGCAGAAUUCAGUGAAUCAUCGAAUCUUUGAACGCAUAUUGCGCUCUCUGGUAUUCCGGAGAGCAUGCUUGUUUGAGUAUCAGUAAACACCUCAACUUCCAUAUCUUUUUUGAAAUGGGAGUUGGACUUGAGUGAUCCCAACGCUUUUCCUCACCGAAAAGUGGCGGGUUACUUGAAAUGCAGGUGCAGCUGGACUUUUCUCUGAGCUAUAAGCAUAUCUAUUUAGUCUGCCUAAAAAACAGAUUAUUACCUUUGCUGCAGCUAACAUAAAGGAGAUUAGUUCUUGUGCUGACUGAUGCAGGAUUCACAAAGACAGGCUUCGGCCGACUUUGUAAACUCGAUCUCAAAUCAAGUAAGACUACCCGCUGAACUUAAGCAUAUCAAUAAGCGGAGAA